AUCCAGCUGACGGGUCCCAAAUAGGAUGUGACGCGCGUUCUGGAU
rnacentral:hammerhead_ribozyme from 1 species